UCUAGUAUUGUGAGAAAGAGAGAAAAAUGUCUCUCUGUCAACAUUUUCUAUCCCAUGCAUAAUUUUGUAGACUUCAAUCAUAUCCCCCCCUCAGACGUCUCCUCUCCAAACAGAUGACCUUUCUGUGUAAAGCAGACUUUAUGUGUAAAGAAGCUCAACAGAUUAAUAGUAAUAGGAGUUUUGGUCUUCAAAUAUUUUUGUAUUUUUGGUCUUCAAAUAAACAGCUUUUGAACAAAA